rnacentral:rRNA from 1 species
GUAGGGAAUCUUCCACAAUGGACGAAAGUCUGAUGGAGCAACGCCGCGUGAGUGAAGAAGGUCUUCGGAUCGUAAAACUCUGUUGUUAGAGAAGAACGUACAUGAUAGUAACUGAUCAUGUAAUGACGGUAUCUAACCAGAAAGCCACGGCUAACUACGUGCCAGCAGCCGCGGUAAUACGUAGGUGGCAAGCGUUGUCCGGAUGUAUUGGGCGUAAAGGGAACGCAGGCGGUUUUUUAAGUCUGAUGUGAAAGCCUUCGGCUUAACCGAAGAAUAGCAUUGGAAACUGGAAGACUUGAGUGCAGAAGAGGAGAGUGGAAUUCCAUGUGUAGCGGUGAAAUGCGUAGAUAUAUGGAGGAACACCAGUGGCGAAAGCGGCUCUCUGGUCUGUAACUGACGCUGAGGUUCGAAAGCGUGGGUAGCAAACAGGAUUAGAAACCCGAGUAGUCC